CCUACGGGGGGCUGCAGUGGGGAAUAUUGGACAAUGGGGGGAACCCUGAUCCAGCCAUGCCGCGUGCGUGAAGAAGGCCCUCGGGUUGUAAAGCACUUUCAGUGAGGAAGAACGCCUGGUGGUUAAUACCCAUCAGGAAAGACAUCACUCACAGAAGAAGCACCGGCUAACUCCGUGCCAGCAGCCGCGGUAAUACGGAGGGUGCGAGCGUUAAUCGGAAUUACUGGGCGUAAAGCGCGCGUAGGUGGCUUGAUAAGCCGGUUGUGAAAACCCCGGGCUCAACCUGGGAACGGCAUCCGGAACUGUCAAGCUAGAGUGCAGGAGAGGAAGGUAGAAUUCCCGGUGUAGCGGUGAAAUGCGUAGAGAUCGGGAGGAAUACCAGUGGCGAAGGCGGCCUUCUGGACUGACACUGACACUGAGGUGCGAAAGCGUGGGUAGCAAACAGGAUUAGAUACCCGUGUAGUC
rnacentral:rRNA from 1 species